rnacentral:rRNA from 1 species
AUACGGAGGAUGCAAGCGUUAUCCGGAUUUAUUGGGUUUAAAGGGUUCGUAGGCGGAAAAUUAAGUCAGUGGUGAAAGCCUGCAGCUCAACUGCAGAACUGCCAUUGAUACUGAGUUUCUUGAAUUUAUAUGAAGUGGGCGGAAUGCGUCAUGUAGCGGUGAAAUGCACAGAUAUGACGCAGAACACCAAUUGCGAAGGCAGCUCACUAAUGUAAUAUUGACGCUGAGGAACGAAAGCAUGGGGAGCGAACAGGAUUAGAUACCCUAGUAGUCC